rnacentral:tRNA from 1 species
GACCUGGGCAGCACGGGACGGUUCGGUGUCAGUGCCUGGAGCGUGCUGCCCGACAGUGACACCACCGGGGCACCGACCGAUCCGCCGGUCCCCGGCGCG